rnacentral:rRNA from 1 species
UACGUAGGGUGCGAGCGUUAAUCGGAAUUACUGGGCGUAAAGGGUGCGCAGGCGGCGUCGCAAGUCAGGCGUGAAAUCCCCGGGCUUAACCUGGGAACCGCACUUGAAACUACGAUGCUGGAGUAUGGCAGAGGGAGGUGGAAUUCCACGUGUAGCGGUGAAAUGCGUAGAGAUGUGGAGGAACACCGAUGGCGAAGGCAGCCUCCUGGGCCAAUACUGACGCUCAUGCACGAAAGCGUGGGGAGCAAACAGG